AUUGAAGUGUAGAUGAGGAUUCGAUUCGGAGAUGGGAGUCUUGACAUUCAACUCUGUAAUUUGCUCCAUUUAAGAGAACACAUCGAGUGAUGAGGUAAUGACUCCUUGAUGGGUUUCUUUGAUCUUGAGAAAUUUCUGUCUGACAAUUAAUUUCUUAUUGCCAGCUCUCUUUGUCGAAGUCCGGGAUCGAUGUUUGUGCUUGUUCAUUUUAUUUGGACUGCGUUUCUGUGCCUCUCACUUGAGCUUUUUGAUUUGUUAUAUGAAGUUUGUGCCUAUCAAUUGACAAAACAUCAAGUGAUUAAUUGAGAAUUUUGUCUUCUUUUGUGUAGCAAACUGGACGUUUCCAUUCAAGAUGUAAUUUGCCACCCCAAUAUCUUAAUGUCAACUUCCCAUUUGAUUAAGCACAUAUAUAUUCAUACAAUUCCACCGUUUGCUUCAUUUGUCCUUUUGCCGAAGUGCUUUACAGACGUGAAUAGCCAUUCUAAACAUUAAGUUUGUGGCAGUCUUGCUUUGAGGCUUUGAACUAUGGUUUUGCAGAAGCUAGUUACUAGAAGCUGGAGCUUUGACGCAUCUUUUGUGAUUGCUGUGACUUGUUCCUUUCUUCUUCGGUUUCAGUAAGAUGUGCGCACAAUGACAUUUUCUGUGAGCACAUUGGUGGCAGCUUCAAUGGGGUAUAGCUUGGCUGCUCCUAAACAGUGUGUGAGGAGCCUUCAGCACGGCAUGGAGAACUCAGUGACACUUUGGAGCAGCAUUGAGAGCACAAUAACGUCUUUGGAGCAGUGUUGAGAGCCGGUAGCUUAUCGAGGAGGAUUGACCAAAGCAGACCCGAAGACGAGCUGCACUACCGCCCAUUAACACGCUAAACGUACAGCAUAUAGGCAUCGAUAGCGAGCUAGAGAGUGAGCCGGAGGACA